UCCCCUACGGGACGCAGCAGUGGGGAAUAUUGGACAAUGGGGGGAACCCUGAUCCAGCGACGCCGCGUGAGUGAAGAAGUAUUUCGGUAUGUAAAGCUCUGCCAGCAGGGAAGAAGGAAAUGACGGUACCUGACUAAGAAGCCCCGGCUAACUACGUGCCAGCAGCCGCGGUAAUACGUAGGGGGCAAGCGUUAUCCGGAUUUACUGGGUGUAAAGGGAGCGUAGACGGCGAUGCAAGUCUGAAGUGAAAGGCGGGGGCCCAACCCCCGGACUGCUUUGGAAACUGUAUGGCUGGAG
rnacentral:rRNA from 1 species